GAUGAACGCUGGCGGCGUGCCUAAUACAUGCAAGUCGAGCGAACGGACGAGAAGCUUGCUUCUCUGAUGUUAGCGGCGGACGGGUGAGUAACACGUGGAUAACCUACCUAUAAGACUGGGAUAACUUCGGGAAACCGGAGCUAAUACCGGAUGAUAUUUUGAACCGCAUGGUUCAAAAGUGAAAGACGGUCUUGCUGUCACUUAUAGAUGGAUCCGCGCUGCAUUAGCUAGUUGGUAAGGUAACGGCUUACCAAGGCAACGAUGCAUAGCCGACCUGAGAGGGUGGUCGGCCAAACCUGAACCUGAGAACCGGCCCGGCUCCUACGGGGAGGCAGAGUUGGGAAACUUUCGCAAAGGGCCGAAGCCUGGAGGGGCAAACGCGGGUUAGUUGUGGAAGGCUUCCGGUCGUAAAACCCUUUUAAUAGGGAAAGACAAUUGGGGAAGGAACUGGUCAAAUUUUGGCGGUUCCCAAUCAAGAAGCCACCGCUUACUUCCGU
rnacentral:rRNA from 1 species